rnacentral:rRNA from 1 species
CAGCCGCCGCGGGAAUACGUAGGGUGCAAGCGUUAAUCGGAAUUACUGGGCGUAAAGCGUGCGCAGGCGGUUUUGUAAGACAGAGGUGAAAUCCCCGGGCUCAACCUGGGAACUGCCUUUGUGACUGCAAGGCUAGAGUACGGCAGAGGGGGAUGGAAUUCCGCGUGUAGCAGUGAAAUGCGUAGAUAUGCGGAGGAACACCGAUGGCGAAGGCAAUCCCCUGGGCCUGUACUGACGCUCAUGCACGAAAGCGUGGGGAGCAAACAGGAUUAGAUACCCGGGUAGUCCCUGUCUCUUAUAC